UUUUUUAUGGUGUAAAAAACACAUUGAAUUUUCAAUUCAGGGAUGAGGGGAGUCCUCUAAGGUUC
rnacentral:tRNA from 1 species